rnacentral:tRNA from 8 species
GGGUGAUUAGCUCAGCAGGGAGAGCACCUCCCUUACAAGGAGGGGGUCGGCGGUUCGAUCCCGUCAUCACCCACCA